rnacentral:rRNA from 1 species
AACGAACGCUGGCGGCAUGCCUAACACAUGCAAGUCGAACGAGAUCUUCGGAUCUAGUGGCGCACGGGUGCGUAACGCGUGGGAAUCUGCCCCUUGCUUCGGAAUAACAGUGAGAAAUUACUGCUAAUACCGGAUGAUGUCUCCGGACCAAAGAUUUAUCGGCAAGGGAUGAGCCCGCGUAGGAUUAGGUAGUUGGUGGGGUAAUGGCCUACCAAGCCGACGAUCCUUAGCUGGUCUGAGAGGAUGAUCAGCCACACUGGGACUGAGACACGGCCCAGACUCCGACGGGAGGCAGCAGGGGGGAAUAUUGGAAAAGGGGCGAAAGCCUGAUCCAGCAAGGCCGGGGGAGGGAUGAAGGCCUUGGGGUUGUAAAGCUCUUUUCCCAGGGAUGAUAAUGACAGGACCUGGAGAAUAAGCCCCGGCUAACUCCGG